rnacentral:rRNA from 1 species
UACGAAGGGGGCUAGCGUUGUUCGGAAUUACUGGGCGUAAAGCGCACGUAGGCGGACUAUUAAGUCAGGGGUGAAAUCCCGGGGCUCAACCCCGGAACUGCCUUUGAUACUGGUAGUCUCGGGUCCGGAAGAGGUGAGUGGAAUUCCGAGUGUAGAGGUGAAAUUCGUAGAUAUUCGGAGGAACACCAGUGGCGAAGGCGGCUCACUGGUCCGGUACUGACGCUGAGGUGCGAAAGCGUGGGGAGCAAACAGG